UGUGAGAAGAAUUUGACGGUAACACAUGAAUAAGGGUUGGCUAACUACGUGCCAGCAGCCGCGGUCAUACGUAGGACCCAAGCGUUAUCCGGAAUUACUGGGCGUAAAGAGUUGCGUAGGUGGCAUUAUAAGUGGAGCGUGAAAGCGUGCGGCUCAACCGCAUUAUUGCGUUCUAAACUGUAAAGCUUGAGUAUGAGAGAGGUAGAUGGAAUUUCUAGUGUAGGAGUGAAAUCCGUAGAUAUUAG
rnacentral:rRNA from 1 species